rnacentral:lncRNA from 1 species
CUACCCUACUUUGGUGGUGGGUGAACUCCCCCUGGAUUUCCAACUCGGAUAUGAAACGGUUGAGCCUCGACUUUUUAGUGAGAUGUGGUGAUUAGAGUCUUCAUUUCGUGGAUCCUCCUUGUCCAUUGGAUCUAUGUAUGGUAGUUAGGGUUCCUGGUAAAGAAUGUAAAUAGGCAUCAUUAUUUGAUUGGAGAGGUAAUCUAGGGUUUUAAAGAUAGUAGUUAUAUAGUGUGAAGCAUUAGUGUGACACAAAAAGAGAGGAUUAUUUUUGUUGUUUUGUGUAGAAGAGGGAGUGGAGUAGUACAAUCGUUGUCGAUCAUAGAUUACGAGGGUUUGAACUUUGAAAUUUUGGUUUCCCCAAAGAUUCUGUUCGCAUGGCAAUAAACGAUAGUAUUUUAAUGUAUGGUAUUACAUGAGUG